UACGUAGGGCGCAAGCGUUGUCCGGAAUUAUUGGGCGUAAAGAGCUCGUAGGCGGCUUGUCACGUCGGGUGUGAAAGCCCGGGGCUUAACCCCGGGUCUGCAUUCGAUACGGGCAGGCUAGAGUGUGGUAGGGGAGAUCGGAAUUCCUGGUGUAGCGGUGAAAUGCGCAGAUAUCAGGAGGAACACCGGUGGCGAAGGCGGAUCUCUGGGCCGGUACUGACGCUGAGACGCGAAAGCGUGGGGAGCGAACAGG
rnacentral:rRNA from 1 species